AUGGCCUACAGCUGCUGCUCUGGAAACUUCUCCUCCCGCUCCCUUAGGAGCUGCCUGCCCUCCUCAGGAUCCUGCCGUGGCUCUUCCUACCCCAGCAACCUGGUCUACACCACUACCUCCUGUUCUCCCAGCACCUGCCAGCUGAGCUCCACUCUGAACCCUGGCUUCCAGGAGACCUGCAUUGAGCCCAUCCGCUGUCAGGAGACCUGCAUUGAGCCCAUCCGAUGCCAGGAGACCUGCACUGAGCCCAUCCGCUGCCAGGAGACCUGCAUUGAGCCCAUUAGCUGCCAGAGGUCCUGUGUGGUGCCCAGUUCCUGCCAGAAGCCCUGCUACUAUCCCAGGAGCUCCACACCCUACCGUCCCUGCCAGGGGACAUAUGCUGGCUCUCUGGGCUUUGGGUCCAGAAGCUGCAGCUCCCUGGCCUAUGGAUCUAGAAGCUGCUACUCAGUGGGGUAUGGAAAUAGUGGCUUCAGACCCCUCAAUUGUGGAGUCUAUGGCUUCCCUUCCUUGAGUUAUGGGUCCAGAUAUUGCUCUCCAAUCUAUUUUGCUUCUCGAUCCUGCCAACCUUGUUAUAGACCAACCUGGGGAUCAGGCCUCUGC
rnacentral:lncRNA from 1 species